CAAUAGCGUAUAUUUAAGUUGUUGCAGUUAAAAAGCUCGUAGUUGGAUUUCGGGUGGGACGCAGCGGUCUCGCAUUGCGUUUGUACUGCUGCAGCCCUCCUUCUUGCCGGGGGCGGCCUCUCGGACUUCACUGUCUGGGGGUCAGAAUCGGCGAUGUUACCUUGAGUAAAUUAGAGUGUUCAAAGCAAGCUUACGCUCUGAAUAUAAUAGCAUGGGAUAACACGACAGGACUCUGGCCUAUCGUGUUGGUCUAUAGGACCAGAGUAAUGAUUAAGAGGGACAGUCGGGGGCAUUCGUAUUCCGUUGUCAGAGGUGAAAUUCUUGGAUUUACGGAAGACGAACAUCUGCGAAAGCAUUUGCCAAGGAUGUUUUCAUUGA
rnacentral:rRNA from 1 species